GAACGUUUUGGAAUACGGAACACAAGAAGACUUCCUCAGGCACUGCCUGUCUGGACCACAGUGUAGGACGCGCGAAUCUGCAGCUAGGGGGAUUCUGUGAUCACAAAGAACCCGGUGCUCAGAUUGCCUGUAUCUGGAGGGAACUCACCUGAAGGAAAAGCAACCGUGCUUUCCACAGACUCCAAAUCAUCCUCACGCUCGCCGAAAGCAGGGCGACUUUCCCCAUAGAAACAGAAGUUCUGGAUUCUCGAGAUGAGAGGGAGGCAUUUCCAUUAUCUCUGUUGGGCUCCUCAAGAGAGUUGCAUGUUCUGAUGCUUGAAGGUGACGUAACCAGCUUCUGGUGACACUCAGGCCUGGCACUGCCAACCGUGUGAACUACAGCCUUCUCCUUAUUAACCACGAUCAUCACUGACUGCUCAAGGAAGAGCCUGGGGUUUGACUCCCCAAGGGGACACUGUGACUACCAGCACAGAGCUGCCUGCCCAGCUGGGCUGCUGACUGAUGGGAAGAGGGGGCUGCAGCCUGGGAAGGUCAAGGGGGAGAAAAAGCCCAGCUCUCACCUGGAUGGACACAGGCUUUCUGUCAGGCCUCCUACUUUGCAUGUUUUUCCUCUUUCCCUGCACGGUUAGGACUCCAGCAGGAGACUGAAAGAAGAACUGGCAGGUGUAACAUCACGUCUUCAUCUCAGUAUCAUAGGGAAAACUCUGUAUUUUUUCGUAUUUUGCCUUCACACUAUAGAUGUUUUAAGAAUACACUUUUAUCAGGUUAUGCAUGCUUCUCUUCAUCCUCACUUUGCUGUUUUUAUUGCAAAUGUUGAAUUAUAAUCAAGUAUAGCCUUGCAGGGCAUAAUAAUGCUUUGGUCAACAAUGGCUCACAUAAACCAUAGUGGUCCUAUAAUACGAUACUGCUGAGUGACAGUGUAGCUGUCUCAGCUGUGUAGUGCAUUCUGAUGCUUGUUCGAUGAUGAGAUUACUUCACACAUUUCUCAGAAUGCAUCCCCUACACUAAGUGAUGUAUGACUAUAUUUCUGGAUGUAUUGAAAUGGUCCAUUUGCAAGAUAAAAUACAUUCAUUAUUACGCUGAAAUUACACCACACUUGCAUUCCUUGGAU
ensembl:lncRNA